rnacentral:misc_RNA from 1 species
AAGUCGUAACAAGGUUUCCGUAGGUGAACCUGCGGAAGGAUCAUUAUUGAAAUAAACCUGAUGGGUUGUUGCUGGUUCUCUAGGGAGCAUGUGCACACCUUGUCAUCUUUAUAUCUCCACCUGUGCACAUUUUGUAGGCCUUUUAGGUCUAUGUUGCUUCAUUUACCCCAAUGUAUGUUAAUAGAAUGUUGUGCCUAUGUUAAUAUAUACAACUUUCAGCAACGGAUCUCUUGGCUCUC